UAUGUUAAUAAAACGUCAUCUUAUCCUAGGUUCACUCUCACAACUCUAAUUCCCGGAAAUCCAUAUAUUUUAUCAAUUUUUGCAUGGAAUUUGAAAGGACGGUCAGAUGCCACGGUUUUAAAUGUAGACGUGAUUAAAACUCUAGAUACGAGUUUAAAUGCAGGGCAAGUUCUAAAUCACCGCGCCGAAUUUGUUUUUUCUCCAUUUUUAUCACUUAGUAUGAUAGUAAGCAUUGCAAUUUGCAUAGCAAUUUUGGCAAUAAUAUUUUCUCUACGUACAACGUGUAAAAGCUCAACGCAAAUAAUAAAGGAAUUUUCGCAUGACCACAAUUUAUGGGAGGUUUCGAGUCGAAGUUCAGCAAGCAAAGAAAUGGACAUAAAUGAAAGUGAUGAAAGAAACCCAGAUGUUAUCCCUGAGCUACUCGAUAUCGAAAAACAGGAACAUGCAGAAAGAAUGAUGCAACAAGUAGCAACUAUCGGGGCUAAUAUUAAUAAUCAAUUUUCAAAGCCACCGGAAGUUAUAUCACAUUUAUCACUCACCUUAAGAAGAGACAUUCCGGUUCGAGGA